UCGAGAAUUUUUCACAAUGGGCGCAAGCCUGAUGGAGCGACGCCGCGUGGGGGAUGAAUGGCUUCGGCCCGUAAACCCCUGUCAUUUGCGAACAAACCUUGCUAUUUAAAAGAUGGCAAAUUGAUUGUAGCGAAAGAGGAAGGGACGGCUAACUCUGUGCCAGCAGCCGCGGUAAUACAGAGGUCCCAAGCGUUGUUCGGAUUCACUGGGCGUAAAGGGUGCGUAGGUGGCGGGGUAAGUCGGAUGUGAAAUCUCCGAGCUCAACUCGGAAAUGGCAUUGGAAACUACCUUGCUCGAGGGUUGGAGGGGGGACUGGAAUACUUGGUGUAGCAGUGAAAUGCGUAGAUAUCAAGUGGAACACCAGUGGCGAAGGCGAGUCCCUGGACAACUCCUGACACUGAGGCACGAAAGCUAGGGGAGCAAACAG
rnacentral:rRNA from 1 species